rnacentral:rRNA from 1 species
UAAUACGAAGGGGGCUAGCGUUGUUCGGAAUUACUGGGCGUAAAGCGCACGUAGGCGGAUUUGUUAGUCAGGGGUGAAAUCCCGGGGCUCAACCUCGGAACUGCCUUUGAUACUGCAAGUCUUGAGUCCGGAAGAGGUGAGUGGAAUUCCUAGUGUAGAGGUGAAAUUCGUAGAUAUUAGGAAGAACACCAGUGGCGAAGGCGGCUCACUGGUCCGGUACUGACGCUGAGGUGCGAAAGCGUGGGGAGCAAACAGG